GAUGAACGCUGGCGGCGUGCCUAAUACAUGCAAGUCGAGCGAACGGACGAGAAGCUUUCUUCUCUGAUGUUAGCGUCGGACGGGUGAGUAACACGUGGAUAACCUACCUAUAAGACUGGGAUAACUUCGGGAAACCGGUGCUAAUACCGGAUGAUAUUUUGAACCGCAUGGUUCAAAAGUGUAAGACGGUCUUGCUGUCACUUAUAGAUGGAUCCGCGCUGCAUUAGCUAGUUGGUAAGGUAACGGCUUACCAAGGCAACGAUGCAUAGCCGACCUGAGAGGGUGAUCGGCCACACUGGAACUGAGAAACGGUCCAGACUCCUACGGGAGGCAGCAGUAGGGAAUAUUCCGCAAUGGGCGAAAGCCUGACGGAGCAACGCCGCGUGAGUGAUGAAGGUCUUCGGAUCGUAAAACUCUGUUAUUAGGGAAGAACAGAUGUGUAAGAAAAUGUGCACAUCUUGACGGUACCUAAUCAGAAAGCCACGGCUAACUACGUG
rnacentral:rRNA from 1 species